AGCGGCGGACGGGUGAGUAACGCGUGGGUAACCUGCCCUGUACACACGGAUAACAUACCGAAAGGUAUGCUAAUACGAGAUAAUAUGCUUUUAACGCAUGGUAGAAGUAUCAAAGCUUUUGCGGUACAGGAUGGGCCCGCGUCUGAUUAGCUAGUUGGUAAGGUAACGGCUUACCUAGGCGACGAUCAGUAGCCGACCUGAGAGGGUGAUCGGCCACAUUGGAACUGAGACACGGUCCAAACUCCUACGGGAGGCAGCAGUGGGGAAUAUUGCACAAUGGGCGAAAGCCUGAUGCAGCAACGCCGCGUGAGCGAUGAAGGCCUUCGGGUCGUAAAGCUCUGUCCUCAAGGAAGAUAAUGACGGUACUUGAGGAGGAAGCCCCGGCUAACUACGUGCCAGCAGCCGCGGUAAUACGUAGGGGGCUAGCGUUAUCCGGAAUUACUGGGCGUAAAGGGUGCGUAGGUGGUUUCUUAAGUCAGAGGUGAAAGGCUACGGCUCAACCGUAGUAAACCUUUGAAACUGGGAAACUUGAGUGCAGGAGAGGAGAGUGGAAUUCCUAGUGUAGCGGUGAAAUGCGUAGAUAUUAGGAGGAACACCAGUUGCGAAGGCGGCUCUCUGGACUGUAACUGACACUGAGGCACGAAAGCGUGGGGAGCAAACAGGAUUAGAUACCCUGGUAGUCCACGCCGUAAACGAUGAGUACUAGCUGU
rnacentral:rRNA from 1 species